GCGGGGCUCCCGCGGCGGCGCGGGGUGCGUCGGCGGUGGGAGCAGGCGGAGGGGCUGUGGCAGCCCGCCCGCCCCCUGCUCGGCAUCGCCUGUUGCAGCGCCGCUCCUCGCUGGGUCCCACUAAAGGCAACUUCUUUAUAGCGGUAAUAGUGUUGAGAAUUUCUGAAGGGCAUUUCCUUUGCCUCACUAUGGAAAUGAAGAAGCUGGUUUGCAUGUUGCAGAUGACUCUGCUGUUUGUCCCCUGCCUGCAAGGUUAACGUUUCCCUACCGGGCUGGCAGCAAUCAAUUUCCCUCUCUUACCUCUGCUUCUGCUCUUCCUUUGCAUGUACUCCACUGCGUAAAGUGAGUGGAAUAGGCUGAGGCAAAAAUUUGGAUGCCUCUCCUCAAAAGAAACUGCGUAAAUUAAUUUAAAGGUAUGGCUGCAAUGUGUAUAAUAGAUGCCAGAGGGGAAAUAUUUAUGUAACACACCGAAACAUUAAGUUUUGGUUUUUUUUUUAUGUAAUUGUCAUCCAAGAAUCAAUACUGUGCCCGAGUGAUUUAUUUUGUCAUUGGCCUUUGUGCUUAGCAGUGCGAGAUUCAAAGCAAAACGUCACAACGAGGAAAUGCACGUUACAUGCACACCGUGCGAAAUCGUGAGCUCUCCCCCAUUAGGCUGUAAGCUCAUUUGGGCAGGACUUCCACUGUCCCUGUCUUGGCACAGUAGCGGUGGUUGCAUCUCCACCGUGGUGUGGUGGUGCUUGGGGCUGGCGGGACACCUCAGUUUCUGCCCCAGCACCCCAUUCUGUGGGAGGUGGAAUGGGGCUGUUAAUGCCUGCCUUUGAGUUUGGAGUUAGGGUACGACCAGGGUGAGCAUCCAGACCUGAUCGCCCAGGCACACUCCCAAGUCCCCUGGUCAGAUGUAGGUGUGGAUGACACCCUGAGGAUGACACACCUGAGGAUGACACUCUGAGGAAGGCUGGAAGGAUACCCAAAGGAUACCCGAAACCUCUUACUGAAACAUUUUAUGUGUGUUCAUGCUGUUGACAGUGAAAUACUGGGUUGCAGUCUUCUCUUGGAGGUAAAUGGGGCACUUUAUGUCUGGCAAUAGGGAUAAUCCAACAAACCCUUGCCAGAAUUCUUAAGUUUUCUCCACUGGAGCGGUGACUUCAGCGGGGUUGGUAGUUUCACCAACAUGCAUGAAGCCAAGCAUUUGGCAAGUGGUAUGUGGGGUCGGUCCAGGCACAGCAGAUGAUGGUACAGUGCUUGGGCUUGGCCAGGUCCCUUCUGCCAGGUGCCCGCUGGUGGGGACAGUCGGGGAACCCUUUCCUGCAGCGCUGCCUCCUGGCUCUGCAGCCAUGUCUGUAUGACCAUAUGGGCCAGUGCUAGCUAGUACGUGCACCCCAGGCUAAAAAUCCUACCUGUUGAAUACCGGAGUGUGAUUUAGGCUUCCUCUCCUGAGGAAGUUUUGCAUCCUGCAUUCUGGGAUGAAUUUUUGCUUUUAUAGGGGCUCCUGGCAAAACUUCUCCAGGCUUCAGUGGGAUUGGCUUUUUCCUCCUUUCAGGAAUAAGGUGGCCUUUGUGUUUGCAAGAUCAAGGCCUAUCUUUCUUUGUUUCAGCAUAAAAGAAAGUUACAAGAGCUGUACUUAAAACACCAUCUCACUCAGAGGUUUGUGUGUUUUCCCUGGUGGGGAAAGAGCCUUUUUCCAUUUUCUGUUCCAGACCCUUCCCAUGGCAAUGGCAGGGGCUGUGACAGCAACUGGGUAGUGGCACAGACGCCUGAGCAGGUGUCUGGUGUGACAAGACACAUGGGAGGGACUGUGGCCCAGAUCCCCAGCAGUGUCUGGCACUGUUCUUCAUUGAUGAUCUGUUAUGGGUGACCGUUUGGACGGUACUUUCAUUGGCUGCUUCCAAAAUUAUCUCCUCUAUUCCUUUAGCAGUCAUUAAGAUGUAGAAAUUGUGAGUGAGAAGGUCAAUAAUGGUGGCAGUCCAAUAAUGGAGUAUGCUAUACACGGUAUUCCUGAGUUAGAAAACAAGAUGAAACUCAGAUGAAACCCCAUUUUCCACAUCACGGGGUGCUUUCUCACCAUUAAUGCUUACCCUCUCGCAUCCCAUCACUGUCUCUGUAACAGACCUGCAACUCCUGAAUUUUCCCAUGUGCAACACUCACUUCAGGUAGCCCUUGCUGAAAAAUAAGCCCUUAGAAAACUCAUACCCUCCGAUCAUCCACACAAAAUCAAGAGAAAGGAGCAGCGAAAAACCACAGGCAGGGUUGUGUUGGGAGCACAUGCCAGGAGAUCAAGAGGAGGAAACGCAGAGAUACACGUCUUCUGCUCCUUUGCAUGCACAAGUGUAACCUGUACUAUUGCUAAAUAACCAUACUUAUUUAUUCGUGUAUUUAUUUUACAGAUAAUCUGCAGGGUUUUUUUCAUUAAAUUACAAUAAUUCAUCAGAAAUUCUAGUCUCUUCCAUGCUAUUAGAGAUACCACAUUACAGUUUUAAGGGCUGGAUGAAACUCUGUGCGUUGCCAAAAUUGAGUGAUUUUCAUCAAGAAGAAGCUAGGACCAUGCUGCUAGUCCUCCUGCUGACCUCUAGUAUUUAUUGCUGACAUAGCACACAACUGGAAAAUUCAGCAAUUGGUAAUAGCAUUACAAGGCGGACUUGAGGGAUGGUUUUCUAAACUAGUGGUGGACGCUGCAAAGAAAACAUUAUUUUUUCUCUCAGUAUUUUGCUUUUUUCCAGGCUCUCUUUGUGCUGCCUGUGGGCAGAGACCCUCUGGAGAGUGCCCAAGCAGAAACCCUGACCCAGCCAGCUCUCAGGAGCCCUGAAGUUGGUCCUGCUAUGUGCAGGCUUAGGAGCCUGAGUCCGGAUGCUUGGCGUUAGCGAGGGGAAUAGUCCCUGUGUAAACAUCUGCAGUCUGUAGGUGCCUGUUUUUCCUUCCUACCCUACCUAGUGACCCUUAGUAUUUACAGUGCAUUCAUUUCCUUCUCACUUGCAGGAAGACAGCUAGUCCAGUUUCCUUCUCUUUUAUAGGAAGGUAGCUAGUCCACUUAAUCAGUAUUUUGAAUAAACCUAAUAUAUUUUUUAAUCUGCUUUAUUCAUAUUUACUCUUUCUAUUGUGAUCUUUUUUUUUUAUUCUGAAUCAGUAUAUAACAUAUUUCCCUAGUUUAAAAUGUAUUUAUUUUUGUUGAUUUUCAUUAUUGAUCCUUCAAUAUUUAUUUUCCUGUUGUGAUAUUUUAGCAUUAGUAGGCCUUUAUUAGAUUGUGAAUGUACACCCUUGCUGCUGCUGUUUCAGGAAACUUCUGAGGUUGUUCUGUAGAGUUUUUUCUUUAAAGAAAAUCUCAGCGUGUUUAAUUUUGCUCUUGCAAGGCCUUAUCUUGCAGAAAGCGGACUGGUUUAGCUGGGAACACUCAUACGUAUGAGCUAAGUAAGCAGGUAUGCUUUUAGAUCAGGAAAGUUUCCUUCCUCGUAGCAUUGCGUUUUAAUGUAACACACUGAGCAUGAGAUUUGGGUACGUGAACUCCAGAGGUCCUUUGCAACCAACAUACCCACGGUUCUUUCUUCUCAGUCUAAGCUGAGUACGACAGGAUGGAAAAGCAUGGUUAAAGCUCUGGUGUUGGAGUAUUUGGGACAGCAGAGUGGCAGCCCGUGUCUUUCACAGCACACUUAAAUCGACGAGUCCAAAGUUUUUGGAAAAGGUCAGCAUCAUUCUGAAAUUGAUUUCCCCAGAGAUGAAGAACUAUAAAACUGCAGUAAAAAAAUAUUUGUUUCAGAGACCUGAGUAUUUUACAAAGUUUUUUUUUGUUCCUCUAAGCAGAAAUAGCUGUAUUUCUUACCAAAGUGGAAUUUCUUUCCUCAUUACUGUUCCUGUCAUUAUGCUGUUAUGUUUCCUAACCUUGAAAUGAAAGCAGUUUUGUUAACUUUUUAUAAAUGCUUGUUACCAUGUUGGGAUUGAAUUGCCUAUCCCAGUGUUGUAGAAAAAAAGUGCAAAAAAAGUUUCAUUUUCUUGAGUGUACACAAGGUAAAAGGGAGGCAGUGUGCUGGGUAAGAGUGGAAUUGUGUGAAAAAAAAAAUGAAAAAAAGCCAGAGUUACUGAGCUACUGCUUCUCCCUGCCCCCGCCCCCAGUAGUUUUAUGGGGUCAUCGUUAAACAGCAAGGAAAAAUGCAAACCCUAGUGUCUGCUGUUAAGCAGAAGACUCAAACUGAAUCACUGAAGAGAUACUUAAAAAUAGCAUCAUUAGAACAUCUUCUUUGUUUCCUGAUUAUGUAAAGACACAUGAGAACAUUCUCUAAUUUUUAUUUAAACAAAUGUCUGAAUGAUUGACUCUAGGAAGUUGUCAAUAUAAUUGUAUUCUACUGCUUAUGGGAAGAACUCAAAGGGUGAUAUUUCAGUGUACCUUACAGACGAAAUGCCUCUCUCCAUUUGCAAGAAAAUAAGUAAUUUAUACCAUAUAUCAAAAUCUUUACAAGCUAUACAACUUUUACCCUACUUUUACAUUUGAAAACAUCUGUACUCCUAAGUGUCAGCAAACUUUUCUAGCAUUUAUGUCCUGUUGUUUUGUAUACAGUCCUUGCUUGCCUGACAUUCUGUAAAGAGAAAUAUGAAGUUCAGUUUGUGAGACUUCUAUCAUGAAAUAUUAGUAAUAAACUCUUGAAUAUGUAACUGGCUCCCA